UACGUAGGGGGCAAGCGUUGUCCGGAUUUAUUGGGCGUAAAGAGCGUGUAGGCGGUCCGGUAAGUCCGCUGUGAAAGUCGGGGGCUCAACCCUCGGAUGCCGGUGGAUACUGUCGGGCUUGAGUACGGAAGAGGCGAGUGGAAUUCCUGGUGUAGCGGUGAAAUGCGCAGAUAUCAGGAGGAACACCAAUAGCGAAGGCAGCUCGCUGGGACGUUACUGACACUGAGGCGCGAAAGCGUGGGGAGCGAACAGG
rnacentral:rRNA from 1 species